rnacentral:miRNA from 1 species
GUUCAGCACCAAGGACAGGC